AAAUAGAACUUUGCAGAGAGAGUUAACAGGGCGUGAAACCGUUAAUUGGCAAACGAAUCGGAGCCACGAAGUCGUUUCGUUGUUUAGUCUGGAUCAGGUUCAGCGAGGGUCGAGAGGCUCCCGUGUAAUCCUGGGUCUGACCAAACCUUGUAAGCGUACACUGCAACCAGUUAGACGAUCAGCAGUGGGCACAGUGUUUGAGUUCAGCCAGCAAUGGACGGACUCUUAUACGAAGCAAUUGUUUGAUUGGGUUAGUAGUAGCGCGGUAGUGCUUCGGUAUUACUCGUGUUGCUGGGCCCUUUUAAGUGAACUACAGCUGAAUACUGACUGGCGAAAUGAAAAUCGCCUUCUGGGCGUUAGAGACAAAGCAACUAGCCGCAUGCAGGCCUACACAUUCGACUGUUGGGUCUAAGCUUGGCGCUUUUGAAUUCAGACUUGCUUGCUACCAGUGGGGCAACUCCUGGUGCUUGUAUAGCUUCUGUCUAAUCGGGCGUCGACUUGGCCUAGCAUUGUUCGGGUGUGCUACGAUUGGGCUUGUAUGUGAGUUGGUUCGCAAUGUGGAUUGGCAGUGAGUAGGUCGGCUUUCCGAACGACCCGUCUUGAAACACGGACCAAGGAGUCUAAUUAGGCAUCGAGUCGAUCGGUCUUGUUUAGGCCAGAUAGGUUUCCUUCGGGAGAUCGACUGAAGGCGUAGAGAAAUCAAAUCGUGUGAUCACAAUGGCAACAACAGCCGUCGUGCGCAACAUGUGCCUGUUCGUAUAGCAAUGUCGCAAGACUUGCUGAGCGGAGCAAAGAGAUGCCUGAUUGGGACC
rnacentral:rRNA from 1 species